CGCUGUCACACAGAGCAGAGCUCAGCGCUGCCCCUCCGCUCCCUGUGAGGAGCUGCAGCCGCCAUCAGGCCUCCCCUCAGCUCCUCUGCUCUGCGCUGAGCACACCGAUGGGCCUCAGCCGCUCCUCACACACCUUGCCCUCAGAGCCUUCCCCAUCGUUGUAGCCCUCCUUUGGAUGCUCUCUAAUAGUUUUAUGUCCUUAGAUUUUGGCAUCCAAACCCACACCCAGUGCUGGAGGUGAGGCUGCACAGCACAGAGCAGAGGGGACGCCCAGCUGGGCCUGGUACACCCCAGGUAUUGGGCAAAGGGCCAACCUAUUCACUCGUUAGAACAGGUCUAAAUAAUGAGGGCUGAACCGGAGCUCCUGCUACCGUAUCCUGACUGUUGCAGAGGUCUGUAGGACUGCGCAGACGGUAGCAGCACUGGGAAAUAUGUGGUAAUAAAACUUGUGUAGAUAGAGCCAGAGUGUCUUGAGUUAAUGGUAGGAAGAGGAAUUAGGUUUCCUCCUCCAAUCCUUAGCCAAGCCAUUUUCAGAUUUAAUCAAGAUCAGCAUUUCUGCUGCUACCAACAUUUAGUUCAGAAUUACAUCCCAGUUUUCUUCAGCAGGCAACACUGCCUCUGUCUCACCAUUUGCUGAAUGCUCUUCACGGUAGUGCUUGAUCCCAUAGCUCUCACCUUCGUGUUCUGCAGAAACCACUGUCGAGUCCUUGAAAGCACCAUAAGUGCUGAAGUUGAUCAAUGCUGAGGAGUUAUGGUGGAGGGAAUGCUUCCACAAAAAUAAUAAUAAUAAUAAUAAUAAUAAUAAUAAUAAUGAAAAACAGAGGGAAAAGAUGAACAUUAUCUGCCUUUGAACAGUUUUAUCAGAGGCAAUUGCUGCUUUCAAUUUUUGUCCAUCUGUGUUACCGUUUUAUCACAUACCAACAUCUGAGUAUUGAAAAAUGAGAAAAAUUAACAGUGCUCCUGGAAACAAUGCUGUCAUAUAGUCUACUUCAUUAUUGUUGAGCUUUGAAAGGUAACUAAAUGGCAGUCGAUCCUCUGGGGAAAUUCUUGAGAAAUAAUCUUUAUUAUAAAGGAAUUAGUUAAGUUGUACUUGCUGUUGCACUGUGAAGUUAAGAAAAGUCCUGGUGAUAAAGUGCCAUAGCUCUUCAUGAGUGCCACAGGGAACGCACCUCUUAUUUGUCAGUCUCUCUCCCCACUUGCCAGGGGCCUAGAUUUUCACAAGAGAAUUACCCUUGCAAAGCAGGGGGGAUUGCAGAGCUGCUAAAGCAAGUGAGUCCUUUGGCCAUAGAAAUGUUAUUUUGAGCUCACCGUAUAGGAAGGAGACGCAACCACCCUGAGUGAGGCAGCUGGCAGUGGUCCUGUGCUCCAGAAGUCCCACAUUUGACUGUGCUGACCACACACAUUUUUUCAGUUAUCAGGAGGAAAUUCACUUAGUGUUACUUCAGCCAAGAAGAGGAACCCCAGAAGAAGCUUUAGGAGGACUCUUCAGAAGCUUGAGGGUUAUGUGAAUGUAUCCUGCUGCAGCCUUACCUGCCACUUAGCACUGGCUUUGUUUAAUAAUUAAAUUGCAGGCACUGUGGACUCAGCACAUGUUGCUUUGGAGAUGCCUUUGGUUCUUACCUGUGCAGUGAGAAGUUUUUAAACAUUCUUUAUGAGGCUUUGUCUUUUCAUACAUUUUUGUUUGAUAGUUUAAACUACUACUGCUUAAUCUUUACAACAGCCAUCCGCUCUCCACCCUUUCUUCCUCGCCUCCAAUAUGGUUUGUGGUGGGAACUCUGAUUUCAUUAGGAUAACAAAUUAAAAUGAAAGAGACUGUUAUAGAAUUAGAGAAUACAAAAUGGAAAUGCAGAAUUUAUAUGGUGAUCCUAAUACAGAAAAAAAUAAAUCAUAAGUAAAUAACAUUUUUCAAAGGUAAGAAAAGUGACAAGGGAAGUUUGAAGACAUUCAGCACACACACAAAAAAAAACAAACAUCAGAAGUCUCAUAUGGAGAUGGCACUAGACAAAAGAAUAGGUAUUUCUUAGUAUAAUACCUACAGAGAAGAGGAUUGCCAUUUUAACAUCUUCCCAGUGCGUCACAGAUUGGAUUAUGGCACUGCUCUGCCAAGUCAUCAAGAGCUGGGAUAACUCCUGAUGGAAGCAUUUACUUCUGCUCCAAAAAUCACCUGCUUGCAGAAGAGUCAUCAUCCCCUCCUCCAGUGCCUGGAGCCACUGGGGUGUCUGAAGGUUAGCGGCUCUCCACUCUCUUACUCCUUGAGUAAGGAGUGAGUUGCUUGUUGUGUUGUGGGGUUUUUUUAUUGUUUGCAAGCUCAGUAUCCCAUGUAUGUUCUCUUGCAAGCUGUGACAGUGAAGUUACCUAUUACAGGUGCUUGAUCAAAUGAUGAAUACACAGGCUGAACUCGCAGUCAUGAAUUAUAGAGCAAAGAAAGAUUUUUUUUUUUCUUUUGAUCCUCCUUAUGCUCCAAGGAAACUCUUUGCUUCUAAAGAGCUUUUAAAGGUGAACUCAAAAUGUGGCCAGAGUUUAAACUGCUUAACUUUCUUUGAAAAACUGUUCCCUGCAGAUAGCUUGAAGAAAGCACCUCUGAGCAUUUAAUUUGACUGGAUUUUAGGGGGAAGGGGGAUUAUACAGCUACUGAGCUUCAAUAAUAUGUGAUCUUCUCAGGAAGGUCUAACAUGAUUACGCAAACAUCACGUCGGUGCUGGCCAAAAGCCCUCCAAAGCACACUGAAUUGCUGGAGUCAUGAGGUUUCCCUGUCUUUGCACAGAUUGUGAGGUUUGCAGGAGGCAAGAGUAAUCCUGAUGGCACUGUCCAUACUGGCAUCAAGCUGAUCCCACAGGCAGUGCCAGCAGACCCUGUGCAGCCAUACGGCAGGCUCAGCAGCCACCCUACAGCAUCUGAGGACCUGGCAGAACCAAGCACCCUGCUCGUGGCUGCAGGAGACCUCUUGCACCCUCCACAGUUGACGCCUUCCCACCACAGCUGUCAAUUUCCUGUGUUGGGAACUGGGUGCAUCCUGUCCCCAGAAGAGAGGUACCAGAAUACCCAACCUGCUGAAAAGUCUUAUUCUGGCUGCUUUCCCAAAUCCUUCCUUUCAUCUUGUUACCUGGCCAUGACGCAGCAAGAGUAGACAAAAGGAUGCAAAGCUGCCUGGUGCAUGUGUGGUACAUGCAGGUGGGAUCCAAAACAAAUGACCUUCAAGGAAGGUCAUGCAAAAAGGGCUGCAAAGGCUUGUGAAAAAGGGAACACGAAUGCACCUGAUAUGAUGUGUGGGUAUCCUAAGAGUACAGCACUAAGGGGCAUGGCCAAGAGAAGCGUGCAGAUGUGGCAGUUGUUACCAACAAGCAGGAUGAGCCCCAUGGUCAGGGGGACCUCGUGAUAGAGGCGUUAGGUUUGAUGUUGUAGUUGGGCAGCUAACUGCAUAGAAUCAUAGUCCCAUGUCCCUCAGUGCCACAUCUCCUCAUUUCCUGAACAGUUCUGGGUACAGUGACUCCAUCACCUCCCAGGGCAGGCAGCAUGAGAUAAAGACACAGAUAACAGAUAGAUAACAAGAUGACACCUAGGCUUCACACCAAAUUCAGCAGUUUGUCAAGGUACACUGAUGUGUUUGAUAAGACAAACUCCACUCAACAAGCAAACCAGUCCUUCUAGACUAGUUUCAAUCUCCAAGCUCAUGCAAACAAAAGUUGCAUGUGGAAUAUAAUGCAGUUGCUAAUACUAAUCUUUAAAAAAGUAUUGAUAAUAUAAACCUAUUAACUCUGAAGGGAAAAUGACAAAAUUGUUAUAUGAGGAAAAUUAUUUGAGAACUGCUCCUGCAUGUUUAUUUAAAAAGAGUGAAAACAAAUAUUAUGAAUUUGAACAACAGAAAUUAGAAAAAUAUCUAAGGCAGCAGGCUCAUGCAAUCCCAGCUCAAUCUUCUGCUUUCCUCCCUUGCCAGAAAGGCAUCUGAGUUGUAAUUCUUGCACAGGCUUAAGAUUGUCUGUCAGGCACUGGAUAAGAAAUGUCGAAGUAUGGGAUGAGACACAAAAGAAGGUUUAAAGGUGGCUAUGAUGACCAUACUGAAAAUCUCUUCUACAGCCUUGUUUACACAGUGAACGAGGGAAACAGAAGGUUGCAGCAGCUACAUAGGGUGCACUGAGGUAGAAGAGUAAAUAAUCAUAAAAAUCUUAUGGGAUCUCCCUGAGAGAGAGAAAUGGAGCCACUGAAAGCCAGACAUACAAACUGCUGUAGGUUUUGCAACUGCGUCAACACUUGUGAAAGUGAAAACAACCGAUAGGUCUGACUGUGUUAGUCCAAGCGCCUUCUCUGUUCUCACUCAGAUCAUCUGCUAUGGGAAUCAGCAUCAUGGAUGCAUGGACUCAGGGAUAAACUCAGACCAAGAAGAGUGAGGAAGACCCAAGAUAUCUCGGUAAAGGAAACAUUUCUGCCAUGUCCAGUCUUGGCUUCAUGAGAGAACACUGGAAGGCAGGUUUUUUUUUUUUUUUUUUACUUUUGUUGCAGCUUUUCACUGCACAACAUACUCCAAACUCUUCUUUCAACAACCUGCUAAUGUUAGGGGAAGAAAAAAAAAAGAUUGUAAUUCAUUUAGGAAUAAAAGCCAAAAAGCUUUUCGUUAUUGAUCAGGAAUUCAAUCAAGUAACAUCAUCAACAGCAAAAAAAAAAAGUAUGUGCUUAAACAUGAACAGUCCAAAGAUGUUAGUUGUCUGUCAAAACAAAUUGUCAGACAUAUUUGUGUUCUACACAGGAAUAGAUUUAUUGAAAAUCUUAAGUGGAAUGUUUGUUUCCACCAUCUACCAAAUAACGUUCUGUGGGGUUUUGUUCUGAGUACUGAGCAGCUGCAUCAGAAACUUUUUAAUUCAGGGAAGAGUGGCAGUUCCUUUUUGUCUCCUGUGUACCAGCUCUUAGGAAUUCCAGGAAAACUCUAUAAUCCCCAGCUCUCUCUGGCAUGCCACCACCUGAUCAUCACGAUCGCAAACAUUUGUAAUAAAAAUCAGUUAAUAUGCAAGCCACUAUUUUAUAUGCUAUCUUCAAUCCCAGAGAUGGUUUAAGAAGUACCUUCAUGUAGAACCUAUGUUUUUUUUUAUUCUUUUUGUGUCUGUUAAGGCUGGUAUAAUCACGAGGUUAAUUAGAAUCUUAAAUGCUUAGUUCCCAUGUUAAGAGAUUUGUCUCUAUUUAAAAAAAAAAACAAAAACAACUUCACAACAAGGGAAAAUGUAGGGUUUUUUUAAUUAUAAUUGGCCAUUUUGAAGAAAAUGUCUUGUAUAUUGGAAGCACGAGAGCCCAAAUGAGAGCCUAUAAACAUUUUAAAUAGGAAGUUUCCAAUUUUAUUAUUUAUAACACUUGAACUCCUUUACUUUCAAGACGUUCAUAUUACCACAAAGCUCCUGAAGCCAUACUUAUCAGGCCAUCUACUAUUAUGUUAUUAGUAUAAAGAUUGUACAGAACUGCACACAAUAAAAAACUAAUAAAAAACAGUAAAAUAACACUGUGUGGCUUCUCUUCAAACAUCAUUAGCACUCAACUUUGCGUUGAAGGGAGGAGUAAACUGAGGUCAAACGAUUCUCAAUUUCACUUGUUUCCAAAGUUUCUCAGCUCACGUUUACUUUAAUCUUUGUUAUUUAAGGACAUGGUAUUUUCUGUUCUUUUCCAGUUGUUAAUUUUUAUGGGAUGCCUAAUACCUAUGACAACAUGAUGUGUAUUUUGGAAAGUCUGUGUUGUGUACAGAAAGCCAGAGCUGCUUCUCGUUGCCAGCUGCAGUUACUAUUGCCACUGUUUCACAUUGAGAACUCUUCUGAGGUUUUUUGAUGUCAGAGAAUCAUAAAAUCACUAAGGUUGGAAAGGACCACCAUGCCCACUUACCCAUGUUAUCUAUAGACCUGAAAUUUAUCACCAGGGCAAAUAAGUCUCAUAUGUUUCUAUUUUAUAAGAAAAAAAAAAAAAAAAAAGGAAAA